GGGGAUUUAGCUCAGUGGUAGAGUGCUUGCCUAGGAAGCGCAAGGCCCUGGGUUCAAUCCCCA
rnacentral:tRNA from 1 species